rnacentral:rRNA from 1 species
UACGGAGGGUGCAAGCGUUAUCCGGAUUCACUGGGUUUAAAGGGUGCGUAGGCGGGCUUGUAAGUCAGUGGUGAAAGUCCGGGGCUCAACUCCGGAACUGCCGUUGAUACUGCAAGUCUUGAGUACGGUUGAGGUGGGCGGAAUACAUCAUGUAGAGGUGAAAUUCUUAGAUAUGAUGUAGAACACCGAUUGCGAAGGCAGCUCACUAAAGCGUAACUGACGCUGAGGCACGAAAGCAUGGGGAUCAAACAGG